AGUGAACGCUGGCGGCAUGGCUAAGACAUGCAAGUCGAACGAGAAUUACUGAAGGGUAACCGGAUGUAAGGAAAGUGGCGAACGGGUGCGUAACACGUGAACAAUCUACCUUAAAGUUGGGGAUAGCCCGAGGAAACUCGGAUUAAUACCGAAUGUGGUUCCUCCUCGCAUGUGGAGGAUACUAAAGCUUGUAAUGGCGCUUUUAGAGGGGUUCGCGGCCUAUCAGCUUGUUGGUGAGGUAACGGCUCACCAAGGCUAAGACGGGUAGCUGGUCUGAGAGGAUGAUCAGCCACACUGGAACUGAGACACGGUCCAGACACCUACGGGGUGGCAGCAGUUUCGAAUCAUUCACAAUGGGCGAAAGCCUGAUGGUGCAAUGCCGCGUGGGGGAUGAAGGUCUUCGGAUCGUAAACCCCUGUCACCAAGGACUAAACAGCAGGUUCAUACCCUGCUCUGAAUUAACUUGGAGAGGAAGCAGUGGCUAACUCCGUGCCAGCCGCC
rnacentral:rRNA from 1 species